AUUUUUGCGCAGUGGCGAUAUCGUAACCAAUGAGGUUUUCCGAGGUGCGAUUAUUGCUAGUUGACAAAAAAUUAUUACGAAAAUAAAAUACAUAUUUUUCGUAGGCUGUAUAUUCGUUGGCUUUAAUUUGAUAUGUCGA